AUUGAACGCUGGCGGCAGGCCUAACACAUGCAAGUCGAGCGAGCGGCGGACGGGUGAGUAAUGUAUGGGGAUCUGCCUGAUGGAGGGGGAUAACUACUGGAAACGGUAGCUAAUACCGCAUACCAUCAGAUGAACACAUAUGGGAUUAGCUAGUAGGUGGGGUAAAGGCUCACCUAGGCGACGAUCUCUAGCUGGUCUGAGAGGAUGAUCAGCCACACUGGGACGGAGACACGGCCCAGACGCCUACGGGAGGCAGCAGUGGGGAAUAUUGGACAAUGGGCGAAAGCCUGAUCCAGCAAUACCGCGUGUGUGAAGAAGGCCUUAGGGUUGUAAAGUACUUUCAGCGGGGAGGCGUUACCCGCAGAAGAAGCACCGGCUAACUCCGUGCCAGCCGCCGCGGUAAUUC
rnacentral:rRNA from 1 species